rnacentral:lncRNA from 1 species
CAGUACAUGUAUAAGAUAUCCAGAGGCACAGGAACCGAAACUGAAGAAAACAUUUGUGGGGUUCCACAGAGACGGAAGCUGCCACUGGUCUGCACGUGUGAAUCCUGCUGGUGCACUUUGGAACUUGGAAGGAUAACCUGCUGCUUGCCCAUAAUGAAAGCUGAAUGUAAAACUGGCCAUAUUCAAAUUCCCAGUGCCCAGCAAACUGGGGUGUGGGGACUUAAGGCAGAAGAGAGGGGAAAAACCAGGCCGUUCUCUGCAGGACAUUCAUUUGGAGCUGAAAUAUCACUGAUUAAAAACCAAAGCAAAAAGCCAGCUAUCUGACAGGAGAAACAGGAUUGUAUAAGACAAAUUGCUCAGAGCAGGAGAAGGCUCUCUCCGGUUUGUACUCUCUCUUCCUCAUUUUUGAUUUCUCCCAGACUGUCCCACUGACAGUGGCCAAGAAGCUGAUGUUGACUGUGAACCAAAGAUAGGUCAGUUAAAUAUACGUGCUAAAUCCUUUGAGAUAUUAUGUGGAUGUUGUUAUAGACAAGUAGACAUGACUGCUCCCAUGGGAGAAACAGGAAUAUUUCUGAUGCUGCAUUUUCUAACACAUUAAUAUUGUAAGAGUUGUGCUAUGAACAUCACUUAGCAGCUUCAUGGUGUAUUCUGAACAGGCUCAGUUGGUGAACAUCACACCUGCAGUUCUGUCACACUGCAGUAUCACCAAAGUUGCUUGAUUCUGAGGCACUUAAGGUACAAAUAAUCUAAAAACUGUAGACUGACCUCACGUAUGUUUUUUAUGAUAUGCAGUUGUAAAACAUUCUCUUAACCUUGUUUGCAAACACUUCAGACCAACACAUUUAGGUACUGCACAGCUGAAACCUCUUAUUACUCCAAGACCAAGGUCACCUGCCAUAAUGUUGUGUCUCAUAUUCUCAUUGCUUGUACUGGUAGAUCUAUGAUAAUAGCAAAGAUUUAUCAAGGGUUUUCAUAUCUUAACAAUGUCCUACCUCUAUAUUUCCAGAAACGUCACUGUUAAAGGUGUUAAAUAAUGUAUAAAUAUUAAUAAUUAACAACAAACACCUUAUCAAAGGGCAUGUGUUCCUGAUUAUGGCCUCUAUUCUUCUGCUUCUCCACACUGUAACCCAAAACCUUUCUUGGCACAAAGGACCUUGGCUGUGCUUCCCAUACCUCCUACCAUGGUCAGGACUUCUUUGGAGGAGAAGUGUUGCACUGGAGAACAGCUGUGGGCCUGAAUGACAACCUUUCCCCUUGGACAGAGAGCCUGUAACUCACCCUCUUUGCAUACAUAAAUUCUUCAUUUGAUUUCAAGUCAUUUGUUUUGUAUGACUUCAACAGGUGAUUGACCCAAUAACCCACAUAACCAUCAGGGUGCAUCUCAUAUCUUGCUCAGCAUAUAGAGAGGCCCAUAACUUUAAUAACUCUGUCUCAGAAACAGAUACCUGCACAAUCGGACUACUCAAAUGGCCUUACUUGUUCACAGUCUUAACCUAAUGGACAGCCUGAUACCAUGUGAGUUCUUUUCAACAGACAGUUGCUUGGGAAAACAGCUUUCAUGGUUUCAUGGUUCAAUAAAAACUAUAUGUUAUUUUUUAAGUAAUUCCUU